AGUGAACGCUGGCGGUAGGCCUAACACAUGCAAGUCGAACGGCAGCACAGUAAGAGCUUGCUCUUACGGGUGGCGAGUGGCGGACGGGUGAGGAAUACAUCGGAAUCUACUUUUUCGUGGGGGAUAACGUAGGGAAACUUACGCUAAUACCGCAUACGACCUACGGGUGAUAGCAGGGGAUCUUCGGACCUUGCGCGAUUGAAUGAGCCGAUGUCGGAUUAGCUAGUUGGCGGGGGAAAGGCCCACCAAGGCGACGAUCCGUAGCUGGUCUGAGAGGAUGAUCAGCCACACUGGAACUGAGACACGGUCCAGACUCCUACGGGAGGCAGCAGUGGGGAAUAUUGGACAAUGGGCGCAAGCCUGAUCCAGCCAUACCGCGUGGGUGAAGAAGGCCUUCGGGUUGUAAAGCCCUUUUGUUGGGAAAGAAAAGCAGCAGGUUAAUACCCCGCUGUUCUGACGGUACCCAAAGAAUAAGCACCGGCUAACUUCGUG
rnacentral:rRNA from 1 species